rnacentral:rRNA from 1 species
AUUGAACGCUGGCGGCAGGCCUAACACAUGCAAGUCGAGCGAGCGGCGGACGGGUGAGUAAUGUAUGGGGACUGCCCGAUAGAGGGGGAUAACUACUGGAAACGGUAGCUAAUACCGCAUACUAUCGGAUAACCCAUAUGGGAUUAGCUAGUAGGUGAGGUAAUGGCUCACCUAGGCGACGAUUCCUAGCUGGUCUGAGAGGAUGAUCAGCGACACUGGGACUGGGAAAUGGCCCAGGCUCCGAGGGAGGCGGCAGGGGGGAGUAUUGCACAGUGGGCGCAAGCCUGAUGCAGCAAUGCCGCGUGGAUGAAGAGGGCCCUAGGGUUUUAAAGUACUUUCAGUCGGGAGGCGUUACCGACAGAAGAAGCACCGGCUAACUCCGUGCCAGCAGCCGCGGUAAUUC